rnacentral:misc_RNA from 1 species
GGCCUGCCCACUGAAAUUUAAAUGGCCGCAGUAUUUUGACUGUGCAAAGGUAGCAUAAUCAUUAGUUUUUUAAUUAAAAGCUUGUAUGAAGGGUUGGACGAAGUAAAAUCUGUCUCUAUUUAAUUUAUAUUAAAAUUUAAUUUUUAAGUUAAAAAGCUUAAAUAUUAUUAAAAGACGAGAAGACCCUAUAGAUCUUUAUAUUUUAUUUAUUGAUUUUAAUAUAGAAAUUUUUAUUUUUUAAUAAUAAAAAUAUUUUAUUGGGGUAAUAAAAAGAUUAAUUAAAUUCUUUUUAAAAAAUUACAUUAAUUUAUGAUUAAGUGAUCCAAUUUUUUUGAUUAUAAGAUUAAGUUACCUUAGGGAUAACAGCGUAAUUUUUUUUGAGAGUUCAUAUCGAUAAAAAAGUUUGCGACCUCGAUGUUGGAUUAAAAAUUAUCUUAGGUGCAGAAGUUUAAGAUUUUGGUCUGUUCGACCAUUAAAUUUUUACAUGAUCUGAGUUCAGACCGGUGUAAGCCAGGUCGGUUUCUAUCUUUAAUUAAUUAUUAUAUUUUAGUACGAAAGGACCAAAUAUUUAAUAUAUAUAUAUUUAAUUUUUGAAUAUUAUUAAUUACUUUGGCAGAUUAGUGUGAUGAAUUUAGAAUUCAUUAAUGUAAAAUUUUUACAGGUA